rnacentral:lncRNA from 1 species
UUCGAGAGUUCAACGGAAGUCCGAAGGUUCGUCGGGAAUGCUGCCGGAACUAACCGAGAAUGAGUAGGGAGCUUGCCGAAGGGUUUUUCGGAAGCUCACUGGAAGGUUCGUUGGAAGUUCGCGGAGCUCGCCGAGAAAGAUCGGAGCUUGCCGAAGAAGCUCAUCGGAACUCGCCAAGAUCAAAUCGUGAAGUCUAGGAGCUUGCCGGGAGUCCGUAGAAUGGUUUUCGAGAGUUUAUCGGAAGACCGCCGGAAGUUCGCCGGAAGCUCGCCGAAAGAAGUCUUGACUUACGGACUUUGUAAUAGCUUAGAAAAUGUCUUUAAAUUCAUAGUUAGCACGUUAAUUAGGGUUAGGAUUAGGUGUUAAUCCUAUAACCCAAGUAGGGGCCAAUU